UACGUAGGGGCCAAGCGUUGUCCGGAGUUACUGGGCGUAAAGGGCGCGCAGGCGGUUGGUUACGUCGUGUGUGAAAGCCCCCGGCUCAACCGGGGAGGGUCGCGCGAAACGGGCCGACUGGAGGCAAGGCGAGGGCGGUGGAAUUCCUGGUGUAGCGGUAAAAUGCACAGAUAUCAGGAGGAACACCGAUGGCGAAGGCAGGUCUCUGGGCCAACACUGACACUGAGGCACGAAAGCGUGGGGAGCAAACAGG
rnacentral:rRNA from 1 species